UACAGAGGGUGCGAGCGUUAAUCGGAAUUACUGGGCGUAAAGCGCGCGUAGGCGGCUUUUCAAGUCGAUUGUGAAAUCCCCCGGGCUUAACCUGGGAACUGCAGUCGAGACUGUCUAGCUAGAGUAUGGGAGAGGGAAGUGGAAUUUCAGGUGUAGCGGUGAAAUGCGUAGAUAUCUGAAGGAACAUCAGUGGCGAAAGCGACUUCCUGGACCAAUACUGACGCUCAUGUGCGAAAGCGUGGGGAGCAAACAGGG
rnacentral:rRNA from 1 species